AUUGAACGCUGGCGGCAGGCCUAACACAUGCAAGUCGAGCGGAGCGGCGGACGGGUGAGUAAUGCCUAGGAAUCUGCCUGGUAGUGGGGGAUAACGUCCGGAAACGGGCGCUAAUACCGCAUACUAUUAGAGCGGCCGAUAUCGGAUUAGCUAGUUGGUGGGGUAAAGGCCUACCAAGGCGACGAUCCGUAACUGGUCUGAGAGGAUGAUCAGUCACACUGGAACUGAGACACGGUCCAGAAUCCGACGGGAGGCAGCAGUGGGGAAUAUUGGACAAUGGGCGAAAGCAUGAUCCAGCCAUGCCGCGUGUGUGAAGAAGGUCUUCGGAUUGUAAAGCACUGGAAGUUGGGAGGCGUUACCAACAGAAUAAGCACCGGCUAACUUCGUGCCAGCAGCCGCGGUAAUAC
rnacentral:rRNA from 1 species